rnacentral:rRNA from 1 species
GAAGGUGGCAAGCGUUGUUCGGAUUUACUGGGCGUAAAGGGAGCGUAGGUGGUUAGGUAAGCCCUCCGGGAAAUCUUCAGGCUUAACCUGAAAAGGUCGGGGGGGACUGCCUAGCUAGAGGGCGGGAGAGGAGCGCGGAAUUCCCGGUGUAGCGGUGAAAUGCGUAGAGAUCGGGAGGAAGGCCGGUGGCGAAGGCGGCGCUCUGGAACGUUUCUGACACUGAGGCUCGAAAGCGUGGGGAGCAAACAGGAUUAGAUACCCUGGUAGUCCACGCCCUAAACGAUGGACACUAAGUGCCGGCGGGUUACCGUCGGUGCCGCAGCUAACGCAUUAAGUGUCCCGCCUGGGGAGUACGGCCGCAAGGUUG